GUUCCCCCCCACCCCUGUCCCUGACUCCUCAUAUUUUGCCCCAUUCAGAACAUCACGUCAAUUCUUUUCUUUUCUGCAGCCUGAUUAGUGUGUGGGGCAGUUCCUGGAAUUUUGUUAUACCCAAUUAAAUGGAAAAUCAGGGAUUUGUCAUGCUCAGAACUCUGAAAUUACAAAGCAAACAAAGUAACGUGAUACUGAGAAUGAACAAAGGCAAUGGCAAUGUCUGUGGUUUUUAGUUCACCAUCAUGUCAGUAGAAAGUAUUUGCCAAUGAAUUAUUUAUCCCUGAAUUAUGUACAGUGUGUAAACAUGGCCCUAGUUGUGUCCGUAUGACGACACUGGAAGCGACUGCAUUAUGAUAUCAGUUACAUCCCAUAAUAACAGCCAGUAAGACAUGGACUUGGGAAGAUGGCAGGGAUCUCAUGUACUGGAGCCAGGAGAACUCGGAGGAGAUGUUGGAAAAUCUGAGUUGCAAUGGGCAAUAAAGGCAUCAGGCAGGAGGAAAUGAGCGGAGUGAGAGAAGGGAGAGACAACGGAUAAUAAAAAGAAAGAAGAAGUGUAAACGAGUGACGUAAAUCAAGUUAAAGCCUCGCAUCCUCUGUGUAUGGGAAUCAGGGACAUUUCUCUCCUCGGCUGUCACACGGCAGUCAGUGCUCCAGGCUCCCCCAGUGGGCGCAACUCCGCAGUUUGGGAACUUCAUCAGGGUCUAAUGAUGCCCAGAGCCUUUGCAGCAAUGCCAUUCACCAAGGAUUUUAGACGAAGGCUGUCUUGGCCAUUAGUCUUCACUCCACGCUCCCUCUAGUGGCAGAAUGCAGCAUCUAUGAAUAAUUCAAUAAAAACAAAAAAAUGAAUAAGAGUAAAUAGUGCACAGAAGAAUCAAAAGUGAUAGCAUCAUAUAAACCCCUUUCUGGUUUCUCCGCUUGCGCUCAUGCUGCUCCGGGUAAAUCAGAACCAGCACAACAACUCAUUAAAAAGUGUUUUUGGAUCCAGCCGCAUCCGAGUGAAGACGGAGAAAGUUAAGGAGAAAUGUUAAUUACACGUCACAAUAAAAA